rnacentral:rRNA from 1 species
CUAAGAAUAUUCCGCAAUGGACGAAAGUCUGACGGAGCGACGCCGCGUGGAUGAAGAAGGCCGAAAGGUUGUAAAGUUCUUUUGCUAGGGGAGAAUAAGUGAGGGAGGGAAUGCCCUCAUGAUGACAAGGACUAGCGAAUAAGCCCCGGCCAACUACGUGCCAGCAGCCGCGGUAACACGUAGGGGGCUGGCGUUGGUCGGAAUUACUGGGCGUAAAGGGCACGUAGGCGGCUUGGUAAGCCUGGCGUGAAAGACUGGAGCUUAACUGUAGGGAUGCGUUGGGAACUGCGUAGCUUGAGUUACGGAGAGGGAGCUGGAAUUCCUGGUGUAGGGGUGAAAUCUGUAGAUAUCAGGAAGAACACCGAUGGCGAAGGCAAGCUUCUGGUCGAUAACUGACGCUGAGGUGCGAAAGUGUGGGGAUCAAACA